UACGUAGGUGGCAAGCGUUGUCCGGAUUUAUUGGGAGUAAAGGGUGCGUAGGCGGCUAUGUAAGUUAGUGCUGAAAUAUCCCGGCUUAACCGGGAGGGUGGCAUUGAUACUGCGGGGCUAGAGUACAGAUGAGGUAGGCGGAAUUGACGGUGUAGCGGUGAAAUGCUUAGAUAUCGUCAAGAACACCUAUAGCGAAGGCAGCUUACUAGGCUGUAACUGACGCUGAGGCACGAAAGUGUGGGGAUCAAACAGG
rnacentral:rRNA from 1 species